rnacentral:tRNA from 1 species
GCGAUAUUGGUCUAAUGGUAUGACGCAAGCUUCCCAAGCUUGAAACAAGAGUUCGAUUCUCUUAUGUCGCAC